rnacentral:RNase_P_RNA from 1 species
UCAGCAGAUCGGAUGAUCGCCUCCGCGCAAGUUUUGCGAAAGCAAAACUGCGGGGGGAGGAAAGUCCGAGCUACUAAGAGCAGCGUAGCGGCUAACAGCCGUCCGUCGAAAGGCGAGGAUACAGAGCCACAGAGACGAGUCCUGAACCUGAAAAAAGCCGAAGGCAUUUUGAAUGGUACAGGGGUGAAACGAGGCAAUCUCUACGCGUAGCAAGACCAAAUAGGGCCAGAAUCAGGAAUUGCUCGUUCCUAUCCGUUUAUGGAUGUCUGGUCGGGUAAGGUCGCUUGACCCUUGGAGCAAUCCAAGGGCUAGAUAGAUGAUCAUCUCGUCCCCUGCGCAUAGAUUUGCGAGAGCAGGUCUGCAGGGGGUAAGACAGAACUCGGCUUACAGGUCUGUUGAAGAG